UACGUAGGGGGCAAGCGUUGUCCGGAAUCAUUGGGCGUAAAGCGCGUGUAGGCGGCCCGGUAAGUCCGCUGUGAAAGUCGGGGGCUCAACCCUCGAAUGCCGGUGGAUACUGUCGGGCUAGAGUGCGGAAGAGGCGAGUGGAACUCCUGGUGUAGCGGUGAAAUGCGCAGAUAUCAGGAGGAACACCAAUUGCGAAGGCAGCUCGCUGGGACGUGACUGACGCUGAGACGCGAAAGCGUGGGGAGCAAACAGG
rnacentral:rRNA from 1 species